rnacentral:rRNA from 1 species
ACGAGCCCACCAAGGCGACGAUCAGUAGCCGGCCUGAGAGGGUGAACGGCCACAUUGGGACUGAGACACGGCCCAAACUCCUACGGGAGGCAGCAG